GAAGGUGUGGCUCAGUGGUGAGAGCACCUGCCUGUCAGCUUCCAGGGUUCUGAGUUCAAACCCCAGUACCACCA
rnacentral:tRNA from 1 species